rnacentral:rRNA from 1 species
GGGUUGUGAGGUUAAGCGACUAAGCGUACACGGUGGAUGCCUAGGCAGUCAGAGGCGAUGAAGGGCGUGCUAAUCUGCGAAAAGCGUCGGUAAGGUGAUAUGAACCGUUACAACCGACGAUACCCGAAUGGGGAAACCCAGUGCAAUUCGUUGCACUAUUGCAUGGUGAAUACAUAGCCAUGCAAGGCGAACCGGGGGAACUGAAACAUCUAAGUACCCCGAGGAAAAGAAAUCAACCGAGAUUCCCCCAGUAGCGGCGAGCGAACGGGGAGGAGCCCAGAACCUGAAUCAGCAUAUGUGUUAGUGGAAGCGUCUGGAAAGUCGCACGGUACAGGGUGAUAGUCCCGUACACAAAAAUGCAUAUGUUGUGAGUUCGAUGAGUAGGGCGGGACACGUGACAUCCUGUCUGAAUAUGGGGGGACCAUCCUCCAAGGCUAAAUACUCCUGACUGACCGAUAGUGAACCAGUACCGUGAGGGAAAGGCGAAAAGAACCCCGGCGAGGGGAGUGAAAUAGAACCUGAAACCGUGUACGUACAAGCAGUGGGAGCACCUUCGUGGUGUGACUGCGUACCUUUUGUAUAAUGGGUCAGCGACUUAUAUUUUGUAGCAAGGUUAACCGAAUAGGGGAGCCGUAGGGAAACCGAGUCUUAACUGGGCGAAUAGUUGCAAGGUAUAGACCCGAAACCCGGUGAUCUAGCCAUGGGCAGGUUGAAGGUUGGGUAACACUAACUGGAGGACCGAACCGACUAAUGUUGAAAAAUUAGCGGAUGACUUGUGGCUGGGGGUGAAAGGCCAAUCAAACCGGGAGAUAGCUGGUUCUCCCCGAAAGCUAUUUAGGUAGCGCCUCGUGAACUCAUCUUCGGGGUAGAGCACUGUUUCGGCUAGGGGGUCAUCCCGACUUACCAAACCGAUGCAAACUCCGAAUACCGAAGAAUGUUAUCACGGGAGACACACGGCGGGUGCUAACGUCCGUCGUGAAGAGGGAAACAACCCAGACCGCCAGCUAAGGUCCCAAAGUCAUGGUUAAGUGGGAAACGAUGUGGGAAGGCAUAGACAGCCAGGAUGUUGGCUUAGAAGCAGCCAUCAUUUAAAGAAAGCGUAAUAGCUCACUGGUCGAGUCGGCCUGCGCGGAAGAUGUAACGGGGCUAAACCAUGCACCGAAGCUGCGGCAGCGACGCUUAGGCGUUGUUGGGUAGGGGAGCGUUCUGUAAGCCGUUGAAGGUGACCUGUGAGGGUUGCUGGAGGUAUCAGAAGUGCGAAUGCUGACAUAAGUAACGAUAAUGCGGGUGAAAAACCCGCACGCCGGAAGACCAAGGGUUCCUGUCCAACGUUAAUCGGGGCAGGGUGAGUCGACCCCUAAGGCGAGGCUGAAAAGCGUAGUCGAUGGGAAACAGGUUAAUAUUCCUGUACUUGGUGUUACUGCGAAGGGGGGACGGAGAAGGCUAGGCUAGCCGGGCGACGGUUGUCCCGGUUUAAGCAUGUAGGCGGAGUGACUUGGUAAAUCCGGUUGCUUAUCAACGCUGAGGUGUGAUGACGAGUCACUACGGUGAUGAAGUAGUUGAUGCCAAGCUUCCAGGAAAAGCCUCUAAGCAUCAGGUAACAUUAAAUCGUACCCCAAACCGACACAGGUGGUCAGGUAGAGAAUACUCAGGCGCUUGAGAGAACUCGGGUGAAGGAACUAGGCAAAAUGGUGCCGUAACUUCGGGAGAAGGCACGCUGGCAUUAGGUAAAGGGACUUGCUCCCGGAGCUGAAGCCAGUCGCAGAUACCAGCUGGCUGCAACUGUUUAAUAAAAACACAGCACUGUGCAAACACGAAAGUGGACGUAUACGGUGUGACGCCUGCCCGGUGCUGGAAGGUUAAUUGAUGGGGUCAGCCGCAAGGCGAAGCUCUUGAUCGAAGCCCCAGUAAACGGCGGCCGUAACUAUAACGGUCCUAAGGUAGCGAAAUUCCUUGUCGGGUAAGUUCCGACCUGCACGAAUGGCGUAAUGAUGGCCAGGCUGUCUCCACCCGAGACUCAGUGAAAUUGAACUCGCUGUGAAGAUGCAGUGUACCCGCGGCAAGACGGAAAGACCCCGUGAACCUUUACUAUAGCUUGACACUGAACAUUGAGCCUUGAUGUGUAGGAUAGGUGGGAGGCAUUGAAGUGUGGACGCCAGUCUGCAUGGAGCCAACCUUGAAAUACCACCCUUUAAUGUUUGAUGUUCUAACUCGGCCCCGUGAUCCGGGGUGAGGACAGUGUCUGGUGGGUAGUUUGACUGGGGCGGUCUCCUCCCAAAGAGUAACGGAGGAGCACGAAGGUUAGCUAAUCACGGUCGGACAUCGUGAGGUUAGUGCAAAGGCAUAAGCUAGCUUGACUGCGAGAGUGACGGCUCGAGCAGGUACGAAAGUAGGUCUUAGUGAUCCGGUGGUUCUGAAUGGAAGGGCCAUCGCUCAACGGAUAAAAGGUACUCCGGGGAUAACAGGCUGAUACCGCCCAAGAGUUCAUAUCGACGGCGGUGUUUGGCACCUCGAUGUCGGCUCAUCACAUCCUGGGGCUGAAGUAGGUCCCAAGGGUAUGGCUGUUCGCCAUUUAAAGUGGUACGCGAGCUGGGUUUAGAACGUCGUGAGACAGUUCGGUCCCUAUCUGCCGUGGGCGUUGGAAGAUUGAGAGGGGCUGCUCCUAGUACGAGAGGACCGGAGUGGACGAAUCACUGGUGUUCGGGUUGUCAUGCCAAUGGCAUUGCCCGGUAGCUAAAUUCGGAAGAGAUAACCGCUGAAAGCAUCUAAGCGGGAAACUUGCCUCGAGAUGAGUCUUCCCUGGGGCUUUAAGUCCCCUGAAGGAACGUUAAAGACUAUGACGUUGAUAGGCUGGGUGUGUAAGUGCAGCGAUGCAUUGAGCUAACCAGUACUAAUGAUCCGUGAGGCUUAACCUUACAACACCGAAGGUGUUU